GAACUGCGAUAAGUAAUGUGAAUUGCAGAAUUCAGUGAAUCAUCGAGUCUUUGAACGCACAUUGCGCCCCCUGGCAUUCCGGGGGGCAUGCCUGUCCGAGCGUCAUUGCUGCCCUUCAAGCCCGGCUUGUGUGUUGGGUCGUCGUCCCCCUCGGGGGACGGGCCCGAAAGGCAGCGGCGGCACCGUGUCCGGUCCUCGAGCGUAUGGGGCUUUGUCACCCGCUCGAUUAGGGCCGGCCGGGCGCCAGCCGGCGUCUCCAACCUUAUUUUUCUCAGGUUGACCUCGGGUCAGGUAGGGAUACCCGCUGAACUUAGGC
rnacentral:misc_RNA from 1 species